rnacentral:rRNA from 1 species
GACGAACGCUGGCGGCGUGCUUAACACAUGCAAGUCGAACGAAAAGACGGAAAGAGCUUGCUCUUUUCAGAAUUGAGUGGCAAACGGGUGAGUAACACGUAAACAACCUGCCUUCAGGAUGGGGACAACAGACGGAAACGACUGCUAAUACCGAAUAAGUUCCAAGAGCCGCAUGGCCCAUGGAAGAAAAGGUGGCCUCUACCUGUAAGCUAUCGCCUGAAGAGGGGUUUGCGUCUGAUUAGCUGGUUGGAGGGGUAACGGCCCACCAAGGCGACGAUCAGUAGCCGGUCUGAGAGGAUGAACGGCCACACUGGAACUGAGACACGGUCCAGACUCCUACGGGAGGCAGCAGUGGGGAAUCUUCCGCAAUGGGCGAAAGCCUGACGGAGCAACGCCGCGUGAGUGAUGACGGCCUUCGGGUUGUAAAACUCUGUGAUCCGGGACGAAAAGGCAGAGUGCGAAGAACAAACUGCAUUGACGUACCGGAAAG